AUUUCUGCUUUUAUUUUUUGUUGUUUUUUUAAAUAAACAAACAUUUGAAUUAUUUAUUUUUAAUUUUUUAAAUUAUUAUUAUCUUUUAAAUUCUUAGUUUAAGUUAUAAUUUAAACUGACUGACAUAAAUUACUGUUAUAGUAACAAUAGUAAUAGAUGAUUCUUAGUUUUAAUGUAUUAUCAUCAUCGUCAUCUAACAGCAUAGUCCUACUACAUCUCUGUCUUGUUAUCCUUUCGAUUGACAUUCCUAUCUGUUUUUGCAUUUAUAAAUAUCACGUAAUAUAUCUUCAGCUACCUGUAAAGUAUAGAAUGGUCCAACAUUUAUACAAUAGUAAAAAAAGAUGGAAGUAAGAAUAAUAUCAUUUCCUUAAAUUUAACAAAAAAUCAAUAAAAUUGGACAGGAAAACAUUGAUUUAGCUUUAGUUUCUUCGUUGCUCGAAUAUUUUUAUAAAAGGAAAUGAAUAAAUCUAUGAAUAACUUACAUCUUAGCGUAGCAUGUUAUAGAAUAAUUUCUUUUUAAAAAAUUCGACUUUCUGUAAUUUUACUGUAUUUAAUUCUAGUUAAAGGCGUUGAUACAUAUAUAUAUAUAUUGGAUGUCUGAAGAGGCACAACCGAGAAGAAACGAGUUAAAAUUUGGUAUUAACGGAUGUUUAACGAAGUAAAUGGCUUCAUUUUGAAACGGUUAAUUUCGUUCUCGAUACGUAAAACGGCAUUGUAGGAGUUUAUAAGUAAAAUCUGCAUAAAUAAAUCUUGUAUCGGAACGACGCAAAUUGCUUGAUUUAGACGAUUUCGUGGCUGUAAAGAAGGUAGAAAUCUGUAUUGGAAUGAUGUCAGUUUCUGUGUUCAGGCAAAUUUAUGGUUGUAAAGAAGCAUGCAAAUUACUAACUAGAGUGAUAUCGACUUAAACGAUUGAGUUUGGUUAACCAUCUGCCAAUAUGGAAACAAAAGAAAUGGCGUUAAUUAAAAUUAAUAAAAAUAAUUUAACUCCUUCCAACUUCGUGCUUAUACGUAUGGCACGGUUGUUAUCGUAGCUAUUCUUAACUCUGUACUAUAUUUGUUGAGCUGUAUAUUUUCACCCUGAAGCUAAAUAAACAUUUUGAACAUUGACAUUGGAGCGUGUUUCCUGUGAUAUAUUUUUAUCAACACAACUUAACGGCGGAUUACGUAAUUUAACAUGGAGUCGGCGGGAGAAACAUAUAUAUACGUAUAUUUCUAUAUUAUUAAAUGUCAAUUGUCGUAUGUGGUUAUGUCCGUUUUCGCUACCAGUCAACCCAACAUGGCUGCCGUCCUACAAAUCAAUACAUCCGUUUUCGUACUCGUACUGCUGUUGCUAAAGGGGUGCGCUAAUUUUCCCAAUCUUCGUUAAACACGGAGAAAGCUAUGGCGUUGUGUCGGCGACGGGUUGAGAAGGGUAGGAGGAGGUUGACGUCACCUGAUUGGUUGGAGCAAAUUACUGCUGUUAAUUGGCGCCUCUCAUCCAAUGGUGGCAGCGUACAACAGCAAUUAUCAUGUCAUUGACCCAAAUCAAGGCGUUUGAGUCAUUUCGUUAGUCUUAUCUCUAGUGAGCGGUUCUGUCCGUCGUCAGCUACAGAAGACACCCUUACGCAACUAACCAGGUGAUUUCUAAAUCCUUUCUUUCUCUAUCGCUCUCUGUCUGUCUUGUAUUCAAACGAGCAUGCUUACUAACGGAUCUUAAUUAAAUUGAACGGAUCAUAAGUCAACCGGUUAUGGCGCCCGUGGCCAUGAGAAAGGGUUGCUAGCAGCUGGACCGGAUGCUGGCGGGAUCUUUUUUUUUAGCUUUUUCUCAUGUCCACCUUAUUCUCUCUAUAUCUGCUUCUGCUGCUGCUAACUUCCUGUCUGUCUAUAUCCCCUUUCAGGCCCAGACGGGAACCCAAGGGGCUCCGCGCCGAGGGCAAAGGAUUGAAGCAAGGCGCUCGGCUAGUCUGGCUUCUUUUCCCCCAACACCCCUGACCGACGGGUGCAGUGGCAAAAAACUCUAUCCAGACAGCGUCUGUCUGGUUUAACAAUGGCGUCUGCUACCCUCUCUCUCCCCUCAUUCUCCGUCAUAUGGUUGGGUGUCGGGAAAGGGUGACAGCCGUCUGCCGAGUCUACAUCUUGUUAUACUGUUAGUGUUAAGCCAUAACACUAACACUAAUCUUGAACUGGAAGAUUUUUUGACAUCUUUAUAUAUAUAAGAAAAAAGUUGGACUCUAACCCCUUUGGCCAAACAGCACAUUUUGUACGUGUACAUCGUCGGCCUAGUCGAAAUGAUUAUAUUCUCUCGAAUAUAUAUCGAAUGAUUUUUACAACAUAAUUAAUAUUUUAUAAAUAAAGAUUUUAAGUGGCGUAAUAUUCGUUAUAUUCAAUUACAAUAAACAAAAAUAUACACAAAACUUUGCAUAAAUAAUCAGUUACGACGUAAAUCGAGGCGAAACUAGACAUAUUUUCAUAAAAUAUAAUAAUACUUUUUGAUUUUCACCAUCGAUACCGACAUUUUUAUUCUUAAACAACUUUGGUUUUGACAUUAGUUUUAUCACUUGUCGGCGGUUUGUCCGUCGUCAGCUACAAUGGAACGUUGGUGUAUAAAGGAGUAACCACACAUCACGAACGUAGUAAAAACUCUAUUCAGCCAAACGCAAUACAAACACAUCUUUGCAUCACGUAUAAAUAAUACUAUAUGAUCAUUUUUGAGAAUUAACAAAGCCAUUUAUAGGAAUCGUGUCUUCAAAUUUAACAAAAUAGAUUAGACGAUAUAUCAAACAACAUUUUUUCGUACAUUGAAUAUCAAUUUUUAAUAAAAUGCAUACAAAAUAACAAAAGGUUAAACAUACAGUACCAAAAAAUAAAUAAAUAAAUAUAUAAAAAAAACAUCAACUCGAAGCGAAUAUAAUAAUCCUUUUGCUUGGGAAAGUCAUUCAUAUCGAAUAUAAUCUAUGAGAUCUGUGACGCGUGAUUAUCUGUUUCUUAUGAAAAUUUCGAUUUAAAUUUUAGAGAAUAUUUAUUUUCGAUAGAUAAGUUCGCCUCCAAGCUAUUUCUCGAAAAGAUCUUUAUAAGUAAAUCACUUGACACCAAUUACUUGGAUGUAUGUCCGCAUCCGUUAACUUUAUAUAGGCUUACCUGACACAUGCCUAUGAAAUGCCUCGACACAAACGUGUUCGUCAAUUCGGCCUACAUCAUUUGAAAUUAAAUAUAAAACUGAGUAAUAACUUGAUUAACAGUGUUCUAUUUUAAGUUUCAGUUCACAAAAACAUAAUUUUAUUAAAUUUAUAGUACCAAUUCUAUUAACGUAUCCAGCUUCUAACGUGAUACUAGACUUAAGAUGAAUAUUGGUUAAAAUUUAUUACAGAAAAAUCUUACGUUGCUAGUUUUAGAACCAAGACGUGAACACCAAAAUUAGCAAUAAAAUAUCAAUGUAUAACUUAGUUUUAUUUAAUUUUAUAAUAAAAAUUUUAAACAUCCACAAGAAUUUCCGAAAUUAGAUCAAGUCAUUUCAACUUUGUAAAAAAAAAAAGAAAGGGGAAAGAACAUGUAGGCCUACCAGAGAUUUUUUUAAUUAAAAUGAAUUUCUUUACAUUAAACAUAUCACAAAUUUAUAUAUUCUAGUUGAUAAAAAUAUCAAAUUGUACUGUACACUUGUUAUAAUCGUGGAAAAAAAUACAUAUUAAUACAUAUUUUCUUAUCGUUGUCAAUUUAUUUUCAUUAUUUCUUUAUUUAAUUUUAGAAAGAAUUCGUCUUUAUCGUAUCGACAGUAAAACACAAUUAAUUGCCCUUUUGGAAAGUGGUAAAGUUUUUAUGUAAAAGUAUAGAGUUUUACGGCAUAGAUACAGUCGAAUAAUCAAACUAUUUUUUUGAUGAUUUCUUCCGAAAGUUAUUAAUGAUAUGCGUAUUAAUCAUUUUAGUUUAUACUUUCCCCCAUUUGAUUAAAUUUUAAGUUUUGCAAUAAAAUUUCAAUAAAUCAAUUUUUUUUUUACUUUACACGCCUAUUGCGGUAUUAUUACAUUGAGAAUUUUGGUCUAUAAAUAACGAGAUGUUAUGAAAAGAUUGAAGUGGAAAAUUUUUAUAUCUUUUUCAAUUUUUUAUUUAUUUUUAAUAAUUAAGAAAUGAUUUAUAACGAUAGAAACGCACUCGGAUAAUUCAAAAUUCCAAAGAAAAACCCUUCAAGAUUUUUUCCCUUCAUUUACAACUUGAAUAUGGCGCCAUUUUCGAGCAAUUCGUGAUAGUUUCAACAAUGUUUUAAUGUAAGAAUAGUACAUCUGUAAUGUUUACAGAGUUCAAUGACUCAUAAAAUCAUCCAAUCUCCUCAUGUAUCCACAUUGGAUCCUAUCAAAUUCGUAUUUGAUCCAUGGAUACGUUCGUCUUUUUUCUUUUUGCAGUAAUAUAUUUUAAUAUGUUGGCCUAUUCUUCGUUAAAAUUCGCCCAUUUUUAAUAUACAAAUUCCUCUAAUAUAAAAUUAAAAUUGGAUUCAUAAUAAUGGUUUGCUGGUUUUAAAUCUAAAUUUUUUGGAUGUAGUUUUUAAAAGGCAACAUAUAGCCUUAAAAUUAACAAAACAAUAUUCUGAAAAGUUACAAAAUGGUCAUGAAUAUUGAUAUCAAAGAACCAAUAUGUCUUUGGAUAAAAAAGCAUCUAGUUCUAAAGAAAUAUCAAGUAUAAAAAUUAACAUUACACUUUAAUUAGAUAUAUAUAUGUUUUAAAUAUGGUCUCUUAAUUCUUACAUACAUAAGAUUUGAGUUAAAUCUAAAAAUAUUUAACAUCAUAUUCACAUCGAUGGCACUUUUACCAUAUACAGGCCGAUCUCCAAUAGGAUUUUCUUCUAUCUCCAAGUGUAUUACGAGUUAUCGAACCGGUUAUUGACAAAUAUUACAGAAGAAGAAGCGUUUACAGUUAAAACUAAAUUUGUUUGUUAUGUAACUUCAUCAAAAAAUUAAAAAUAAAAUUUAUUUUUUUAAUGAAAAAGUGUGUGAAAAGUAUGUUAUCUAUAAAAUACACAUACACAUAGUCUAUAGGCCUACGU